UACGGAGGGGGCUAGCGUUGUUCGGAAUUACUGGGCGUAAAGCGCACGUAGGCGGCUUUGUAAGUUAGAGGUGAAAGCCCAGGGCUUAACCCUGGAAUUGCCUUUAAGACUGCAUCGCUCGAAUCCAGGAGAGGUGAGUGGAAUUCCGAGUGUAGAGGUGAAAUUCGUAGAUAUUCGGAAGAACACCAGUGGCGAAGGCGGCUCACUGGACUGGUAUUGACGCUGAGGUGCGAAAGCGUGGGGAGCAAACAGG
rnacentral:rRNA from 1 species